GCGGCACGCCUUAUACAUGCAAGUCGAACGAAGUAGCAAUACUUAGUGGCAGACGGGUGAGUAACAUGUAGGUAUCUUCCCUUUGGUGAGGAAUAACACGAGGAAACUUGUGCUAAUACCUCAUAAGUCUUUACGGAGAAAGCUUUAUGCGCCGAAGGAUGAGCCUGCACUUGAUUAGUUUGUUGGUGGGGUAAUGGCCUACCAAGACUUUGAUCUAUAGCUGAUCUGAGAGGAUGAUCAGCCACAUUGGGACUGAGACACGGCCCAAACUCCUACGGGAGGCAGCAGUAGGGAAUAUUGCACAAUGGAGGAAACUCUGAUGCAGCGAUGCCGCGUGAGUGAAGAAGGCCUUUGGGUUGUAAAGCUCUUUCGUCGGGGAAGAAAAUGACUGUACCCGAAUAAGAAGGUCCGGCUAACUUCG
rnacentral:rRNA from 1 species